AGCAGUAAACAGAUAUGGGCUCGAAACUUAAAGAAUUUGGCGGUAUCUAAGUCUGGUUAGAGGAACCUGUGCUGUAAACGAUAAACCACGAAUAUCUUACUUUAUCUUGGAUGUGCAGUACGUAUACCGCCAUUAUUCGAUAAUUUCAAAAGAAGUUUAUCAAGAUAGAUUUUGGAUCUAGGAUAUUAGGUCAAGGUGCGGCUAAUGAUGAAGAAGACAUGGGUUACAUUGGUAUUGGUAAUGCGGAUUGAUUCAGUAAAUUGGGUCUUGUAAGUGGGAUUUAAUGGUAAAAGAAGUGAAUUAUGUUUUUUUGAUAGAAGCUCUUGGAUAUGUACACA
rnacentral:rRNA from 1 species